rnacentral:rRNA from 1 species
AUUGAACGCUGGCGGCAGGCCUAACACAUGCAAGUCGAGCGGAUGACGGGAGCUUGCUCCUUGAUUCAGCGGCGGACGGGUGAGUAAUGCCUAGGAAUCUGCCUAGUAGUGGGGGACAACGUUUCGAAAGGAACGCUAAUACCGCAUACGUCCUACGGGAGAAAGCAGGGGACCUUCGGGCCUUGCGCUAUCAGAUGAGCCUAGGUCGGAUUAGCUAGUUGGUGGGGUAAUGGCUCACCAAGGCGACGAUCCGUAACUGGUCUGAGAGGAUGAUCAGUCACACUGGAACUGAGACACGGUCCAGACUCCUACGGGAGGCAGCAGUGGGGAAUAUUGGACAAUGGGCGAAAGCCUGAUCCAGCCAUGCCGCGUGUGUGAAGAAGGUCUUCGGAUUGUAAAGCACUUUAAGUUGGGAGGAAGGGCAGUAAGUUAAUACCUUGCUGUUUUGACGUUACCGACAGAAUAAGCACCGGCUAACUCUGUGCCAGCAGCCGCCGUAACAC